GCACAAGCGGUGGAUUAUGUGGAUAAUUCGAUGCAACGCGAAAACCUUACCUACCCUUGACAUGCUAGGAACUUGCCAGAGAUGGCUUGGUGCCCGAAAGGGAACCUAGACACAGGUGCUGCAUGGCUGUCGUCAGCUCGUGUCGUGAGAUGUUGGGUUAAGUCCCGCAACGAGCGCAACCCUUGUCAUUAAUUGCCAUCAUUCAGUUGGGCACUUUAAUGAGACUGCCGGUGACAAACCGGAGGAAGGUGGGGAUGACGUCAAGUCCUCAUGGCCCUUAUGGGUAGGGCUUCACACGUAAUACAAUGGUCGGUACAGAGGGUUGCCAACCCGCGAGGGGGAGCCAAUCCCAGAAAACCGAUCGUAGUCCGGAUUGCAGUCUGCAACUCGACUGCAUGAAGUCGGAAUCGCUAGUAAUCGCGGAUCAGCAUGUCGCGGUGAAUACGUUCCCGGGCCUU
rnacentral:rRNA from 1 species